rnacentral:rRNA from 1 species
GUGCCAGCAGCCGCGGUAAUACAGAGGGUGCAAGCGUUGUCCGGAAUUACUGGGCGUAAAGAGUACGUAGGCGGCUUUUCAAGUCGGAUGUGAAAUCCCUGAGCUUAACUCAGGAACUGCAUUCGAUACUGGAUCGCUAGAGUAUAUUAGAGGAUAGUGGAAUUUCAAGUGUAGCGGUGAAAUGCGUAGAUAUUCGGAGGAACACCAAUUGCGAAGGCAGUUCACUGGACCGUGAUCGACGCUGAGGAGCGAAAGCUAGGGGAGCAAACAGGAUUAGAUA